CGAUCAACAAUAGUAACUAGAUUUCGGGUCGGUGCAUAAAAUCCGUCUCGUCAAAUAACAGCGCACUUGAAAUGUGAGCUCUUAUUUUGUUUAGUUCUCUUCAAACACAGCCAAUGUCAACCCGUCUCACAAUACCGCAGUGUGUAUUCAAAAGUUGCAAAAAUAAGGCCCGAAAAAGCAAUUUAACGGCCGGAGUAUCUUACUUUCGCUUUCCUAGCAAUCACGUGUGCAGAAUGGAUCUCGAUUGUCGCCAGAGAAACAAGAGAUGACUUUUAUAAGCCAGCUAAGAACUCCGCUUAUUGACACUGGACAUCUUUGCCUUCCGUGCUCACGGCUACUGAAAUGUGGCCGAAACAUUGUAAUAAAAAUACCACGCUUGAAACCGUUUAAA